rnacentral:rRNA from 1 species
UUUCCUACGGGAGGCAGCAGUGGGGAAUAUUGCACAAUGGGGGAAACCCUGAUGCAGCGACGCCGCGUGAGUGAAGAAGUAUUUCGGUAUGUAAAGCUCUAUCAGCAGGGAAGAAAAUGACGGUACCUGACUAAGAAGCCCCGGCUAACUAAGUGCCAGCAGCCGCGGUAAUAAGUAGGGGGCAAGCGUUAUCCGGAUUUACUGGGUGUAAAGGGAGCGUAGACGGCAGAGCAAGUAUGAAGUGAAAGCCCGCGGCCCAAAUGCGGGACUGCUAUGGAAACU